rnacentral:lncRNA from 1 species
AGCCCUUUAAUGAUUUGGAGCAUGUUGUAUUGAUGAAAAUUUUUUACCUUAUAAGUUCCAAUCCCGUGCCGCUAUUAGAGAAUUUUGUGAGAAACCAACUUCUAAAUUGGUUGUGAUUUCUGCUUUUUAGUGUCUCAGUUGAAUUUUAUCUAUGCUGUGGUAAUUAGUUUUGUAAAUUUUGAGGCUCUGGGACUAUGUUAGUGAUG